rnacentral:rRNA from 1 species
AGUGAACGCUGGCGGUAGGCCUAACACAUGCAAGUCGAACGGCAGCACAGUAAGAGCUUGCUCUUACGGGUGGCGAGUGGCGGACGGGUGAGGAAUACAUCGGAAUCUACUUUUUCGUGGGGGAUAACGUAGGGAAACUUACGCUAAUACCGCAUACGACCUACGGGUGAAAGCAGGGGAUCUUCGGACCUUGCGCGAGUGAAUGAGCCGAUGUCGGAUUAGCUAGUUGGCGGGGUAAAGGCCCACCAAGGCGACGAUCCGUGGCUGGUCUGAGAGGAUGAACAGCGACACUGUAACUGAUAAACGUUCUAGACUCCGACGGGAGGCAUCAGUGGGGAAUAUUGGACAAUGGGAGCAAGCCUGAUCCAGCCAUACCGCGUGGGUGAAGAAGGCCUUCGGGUUGUAAAGUCCUUUUGUUGGGAAAGAAAAGCAGCUGGUUAAUACCCCGCUGUUCUGACGGUACCCAAAGAAUAAGCACCGGCUAACUUCGUG